UAUCCCUUUGACCCUCUUAGCGACUCGCUCCUCUCUCCCCAGCUCUCAAUUCAGUUCAAGCUUUCGAUUGCGCACUCCGUAUCUCGUCCGUCAUCUACUCACCUCAGGUCGGGAACACAUCAACGCAAGUCCACACUAAAUCUCGUCCAUCUAUCUCGUCCGUCUCUCCUCCUUAAUUCUUUCUCAGUCUCACCGCGCCACUCGUUUCAUAUGCUCUCUCUGUCUCUCUUCGAUUUCAUCUCAGGCUCUUGUUAAAUGUCAUACCUAAAGAGGUCUUGGAGUUAUCCUCUUCUUCCUCUUGACCAAGAAGAACACGAACGCUUCAACAUUCCUUGCGAUGAGAUAAGUUCUUGGUCCUCCCACCAGAGUGCCAGAGUGACUCCCAAGUACAAGGGCACAGUCAACACCGAUGCAAUAGAUUUUGUUGAGAUUGCAUUUGAAAAACUCAUCAAACUCAGGCUGUCUUCCAAGCUGGAAGGUUAUGCAGCAACAUUCAUAAUCUAUAAUAAAGAUUUUCGAAAGUUUUUCAUAUUAAUUAGACGCAAACAGGACGUCAUUAAAUUUCUAAAAAAUUACAGCAGAAGACAAUUCCUCAAACUCCUCAAAGAUCUCAAGAGGACAAAGAGAAAUAGCAGAAGAAAGAAGAGGGCAAAGACUACUAAUAUUUGUUCUAAAAGAAGGGUUUAGCCCUGAUAAGGUAGAUGAUAGUAUUUUUUAGUAAACUGUAUUGAUGUUUUGAUGGCCAGGCAUCGUUGUGCUCUAAACUCCAAUGUGUUGUGGUGACGCUUUUGUUUUCAUGCGCUAGAUCCUGAUGUGAUAUAAAUCUAUAAUCUAUCUAUAAGAUCUUCUAGAUGUUGUAGUAGCCUAUUGAUUCUACCAGUUUUAGUUAUUUUCUUGUAUAUGUUUGGAUUAUUUUCUAUGUUUGGAAUAUUAAGUUUCAUCUAGGAAACCUUGUGAUACUUCAUAA